AAGCAAAUGAUGAGUUUACUCGGAUUCCCCUUCAAGACAUCUUGAAAGAUGAAAGCUCGAGUUUUCUGAUGCA